rnacentral:sRNA from 1 species
AGCGAGAUACAAUUCUAUCUCAUGAAUACUAGUAUAUACCCCCUUUUCUUGAAACGGCUUUGUAGGAUUUCGGGAAGUCAACGAGCAACUAAUUUCGCCAUAUCUAAUUUUACCAUAGACUGGCCGUUUGCAAUUCCCUAAUGUCAAGAAUCAUCUAGAUCUAUCAAGGGUGAUCAAACUCUUCUUUCACUUAAGAUAUUUAUUCCCCCCCCGUCUCUGUUUGUCUGUGCGUGUCUGCAUAUUUGCCUGAAACCUACAUAUGCUCUCGCGUAGCUGCACCCACAGCCAUCAUGCCAGGGUUGACUGAAGCAAAAAGGACAUGACAAAAAAAAAAUAAAAAAUAAAAUAAAUAAAUUAGGCAAGAAAUGCAGACGGCAGCUAAGCAUUGCAUGCUCCAAUGUCCUCCCGCUGCAGUGUGGCUGCCACGCCACAGUCCAAUG